GGAUUAUAGUUUAUUUUAAAACAUUUGAUUUGCAUUCAAAAAACAUUAUAUUAAAUAAUUUAUCUUA
rnacentral:tRNA from 1 species